GAACCUGAGAGUUUGAUCCUGGCUCAGAGCGAACGCUGGCGGCAUGCUUAACACAUGCAAGUCGCGCGGCCGGCAACGGCAGCGGCGGACGGGUGAGUAACGCGUAGGAAUGU
rnacentral:rRNA from 1 species